rnacentral:lncRNA from 1 species
CUAUACAAUAUCUUUGUUAAAAUGCUGAGAAGAUUUAUCCUAAAAGAAGGCACCAAAGCAAUGGGGUUCAUCAACUCAGGAUCCAGUAGUGUAAUACAGAAGCCUGUUACAAGAUAUAAGCAAUUGUAAUGAACAGCAUAACUAUUUGUGUGACUACACUUGGUAUAAUUCUAUUAAGCAUGGAGACUGCAACUUUUGCAUUAAAUACAACCACAUACAAUUGGUCAAACGCACUUCGCCCUCGGAAAUCUCACUGUCGGAAUCCUUGGAAAUCACACCAUGCACAACUUCUAUUUCUUCAUAAUUUGCAAAGAACCAGUGUGACUCCAGUCAAGAACAAAAGAUUAAUUGUGAAUUAGCGAAGAACUCUAAUUUUUUCAAGAAGCCACAUGGAAAACGCAUUCUAAUGAAGUCCUUUCCAUUGCUCUUUUUUCUUAGUUCUUCAAUAAAGCAUGCGAUUUGAUCACAAA